AUUAUAGGAUCAAAGGCUAAGAUCGCGACUUCCUGUCGCAACGCCUUCGUGACCCACAUCACGUGGG
rnacentral:sRNA from 1 species